GAGAUUAGCAUGGCCCCUGUGCAAGGAUGACAAGCAAAUUGUAAAAUAUAUGUCCUUAUUU
rnacentral:snRNA from 1 species